rnacentral:rRNA from 1 species
UACGUAGGUGGCAAGCGUUGUCCGGAAUUAUUGGGCGUAAAGCGCGCGCAGGCGGUUCUUUUAAGUCUGAUGUGAAAGCCCACGGCUCAACCGUGGAGGGUCAUUGGAAACUGGAGAACUUGAGUACAGAAGAGGAAAGCGGAAUUCCACGUGUAGCGGUGAAAUGCGUAGAGAUGUGGAGGAACACCAGUGGCGAAGGCGGCUUUCUGGUCUGUAACUGACGCUGAGGCGCGAAAGCGUGGGGAGCAAACAGG